UCGUCUAUAAAUGGUUUAUUUUGAUUACCGAUGGAGGGAGCUAUCGUCGUCUCACGAGAGGACGAAUUCGGCUCGUGGCCCGAGCGCGGAGCACCUCCUUGGCGACCGCUGUACGAGUGCAGUGGCAAUUCAGCGACAACGGCCCUGAUCCGCUGCUCCCCAUGCCGAUUUUUGCGGGCAAAUGUGCGCACGAAAUCCCCACGGCGGCAAACUCCGCAGGUUAGUGUCCCCCCCCCCUUUUUUUUUCCUUCCAUCCCCAACAAAUUCCCCCACAACAGCAGCAAUCGACGGAUGCAGCGAGGCCAUGGGGUCGGAGCAGCAAGCGGCGGGCACAGCACGUGAGCUCGUAGCUGCAUCCAUGGCGCGCGAACGGAAGGAGCUUGCGGCGCGGGUACGGGUCGAAAGCUCGGGACAACAGCGACGGCGACGCUGGGCGACAAGACUGUGGCGGCUGCGACGGCGGCGCAUGGGAGGAAGGCGGCAGCGGCGCGAGGCAAGAAGUCUGCGACUGCGGCGACGGCAGCGCAUGGGCAGCAGCAUCCUCAACCAUUGCCAAGCAUGAAUCACUGAUUCAUGGUGAUCCGAGAGAAUGGCUAUAUUGUUUCACCUAUGGGGCUUAAGGUACAAGAAGGAAGGCAAAAUUGGAGGAAAAUGAUUACUCUGGCUGAAGAGUUAGGAGCCUCUGAUGUUAGUUUGUCAUUGCUAAAAAAAUUGAAGCUUGUUUCUGUCAUUAGUAAAAAAUUGAGUUGUAUUUGAAAUUGAGCAGUCAAGUCUGUUCUACGUCAAACUGAAGCUAUUUGUGAAUGUGAACAUGCUAUCUAUUUUAAUUUCCUACUUUUUUUU